CCUACGGGUGGCAGCAGUGAGGAAUAUUGGUCAAUGGGCGGGAGCCUGAACCAGCCAAGUCGCGUGAGGGAAGACGGUCCUAUGGAUUGUAAACCUCUUUUGGCGGGGAGUAAUGCCGGGCACGCGUGCCCGGAGGGAGAGUACCCGCAGAUUAAGCAUCGGCUAAUUCCGUGCCAGCAGCCGCGGGAAUACGGAGGCUGCGAGCGUUAUCCGGAUUUAUUGGGUUUAAAGGGUGCGUAGGCGGACUUUUAAGUCAGCGGUAAAAUGUCCGGGCUCAACCCGGGCCGGCCGUUGAAACUGGGUGUCUUGAGUGGACGAGAGGUAGGCGGAAUGCGUGGUGUAGCGGUGAAAUGCAUAGAUAUCACGCAGAACUCCGAUUGCGAAGGCAGCAUACCGGCGCCCGACUGACGCUGAGGCACGAAGGCGUGGGGAUCGAACAGGAUUAGAUACCCCUGUAGUC
rnacentral:rRNA from 1 species